UCGCUGAUUCGCUACAACGAAAAAUCCAAUCUUCCUUUUUGUUCUACAUAUAACCUCAUGCCUCAGGUUCAACUUGUAAACAUAUAAUUCAAACACGGGGACAACACAGCCAAGCCUAGCCUACCCUCUGUAUCUCCUCCCGAUCUCCUUGUUAUCGUCGCAUCGUACGUACAUAUAACCCUUUCUUGUUAAAUCAAAAUCCGCUUUCAAAGGUGUUAUGGGUAGCAAAAAUCGCCAGCUUCACAUAUUCUUCUUUCCCUUGAUGGCCCCUGGCCAUAUGUUACCAGUCAUCGACAUGGCUAGGCUAUCCACAACCCAAGGUGUCAAAGCGACCAUAAUCACCACCCCGCUCAACGAGCCUUUUGUCGCAAAAACGAUUGAAAGAACCAAAACUAGCAGCGGCUUCAAUAUUGAUAUCAAAACCAUCAAGUUCCCGACAGUAGAGGUUGGCCUGCCAGAAGGGUGCGAGAACAUCGACUCCUUUACUUCUGUCGAAAACUGUGCUAGUUUCUUGACAGCCCUGGGGAUGCUCCGACAACCCCUCGAGCAGCUACUACAAGAUUACCGACCUCAUUGCAUUGUUGCCGACAUGUACUUUCCAUGGGCAACUGAUGUUGCUGCUAAAUUUGGCAUCCCAAGGCUUGUUUUUCAUGUAACCAGUUUUUUCUCAUUGUCUACUCAGGUGAGUCUAGAAGUGUAUGAACCUCACAAAAAAGUUUUAUCUGAUUCUGAACCUUUCGUCAUUCCUAAUUUUCCUGACGAGAUAAAGUUGACAAGGAUGAAAAUUCUCAUCGUCCAUCAGUUCAAUGAUAAGGAAGGCGUACUUGAAACAGAAUUUACAAAGGUUUUGAAAGAAGCCAAUGAAGCAGAGGUGAGGAGCUAUGGGGUUGUUGUAAACAGCUUCUAUGAGCUCGAACCGGCUUAUGCAAAUCAUUACAGAAAGGUCUUGGGAAGGAAAGCAUGGCAUAUAGGUCCAGUUUCACUAUGCAACAAGGAGGCUGAAGACAAAGGUCAGAGGGGACAAGAAUCAUCCAUCGAUGAACACGAAUGUUUGAAGUGGCUUAAUGCAAAGAACAGUGAUUCAGUUGUUUAUAUAUGUUUCGGAAGUUUGGCCAACUUAACCGAUUCUCAGCUAAUGGAGAUUGCAAUGGGUCUUGAGGCUUCUGAACAACAAUUCAUUUGGGUCGUCAAGAAAGGCAAAGACGAGAAAGAAGAGGAAGAUUGGUUGCCGAAAGGAUUCAAGAAGAGAAUGGAAGGUAGGGGACUAAUAAUAAGAGGUUGGGCACCCCAAGUUUUGAUUCUGGAUCAUGAAGCGAUAGGAGGAUUUGUGACUCAUUGUGGCUGGAACUCAACGUUAGAAGGAGUGACUGCUGGGUUGCCUAUGGUCACAUGGCCUAUGUUUGCUGAGCAAUUUUACAAUGAGAAGUUAGUGACUCAAGUGUUGAAAAUUGGAGUCCCUGUGGGUGCUGAUCGGCGGUACGUUAAUAUGAUGGGGAAUGAUGCUUAUAUUAUAAAAAAGGAAGCAAUAGAGAAUGCAGUGAGGCGAAUUAUCAUGGUAAGUGAAGAAGCAAAGGAAAUGAGAAGCAGAGCCAAGGCACUUGGGGAGAUGGCAAGGAGAGCCAUGGAAAAAGGCGGAUCAUCCUAUUCCGAUUUGAAUGCUUUAAUUGAAGAACUGAAGAUCCUCAGCGGUUGAUAUAUGCUAGAAACGUUGGGGAAGGUUUCAUAAUAUAAAUGUUCUGAUAUUGAUGGUCUGUUACAAUAAAAAUAUACAUGUGGCAGGGCCGUAAUGAUAUAGUGUGAAUGAGAGUGUUUUGAAUUUAGCAUAUAGUGUGAAGGUACCAAUACAGCUAAACAACUACUUGGCAUAUAAUGAUGGAAUAGAGUAAUUGAA